UGGACAACCAGGGAUUCGUAGUUUUAUCACUUUUCAAGCAUUUUUACCGCGAAGGUUGAAAAAAUCACUUUUUUCGGUGGAUAGUGGAUACCGCUAUCUACCCUGGUUGCCAGAGGUUCUCGUAUCUUUCGCUUUCGAGCGGGAAUAAGGCUAAAGAUACGAGAACCUCUGGCAACCAGGGUAACCGCUAUCCGGCCUUCGUACAACCGGCCCGGGUCAGAAGAAAAAUUUUGAGUCGGCAGGCUUACCUGAAACAGAAGUUACAGAACGUUUUGGUUUGGCCUAAAAAUAGUGAACAUUAGGUACACAUUUAUACACAGUGAUGAACAAUGGCUGUCAAUGAUAAACAGCAAUGUAA